UACGGGGGGGGCAAGCGUUGUUCGGAAUUACUGGGCGUAAAGGGCUCGUAGGCGGCCAACUAAGUCAGACGUGAAAUCCCCCGGCUUAACCAGGGAACUGCGUCUGAUACUGGAUGGCUUGAGUUUGGGAGAGGGAUGCGGAAUUCCAGGUGUAGCGGUGAAAUGCGUAGAUAUCGUAAGGAAGACCAGUGGCGAAGGCGGGUCUCUGGACAGUUCCUGACGCUGAGGCACGAAGGUCAGGGGAGCAAACGGG
rnacentral:rRNA from 1 species